GCAUUGUUGGUUCAGUGGUAGAAUUCUUGCCUUCCAUGCAGGAGAUCUGGGUUCAAUUCCCGGCCAAUGCA
rnacentral:tRNA from 1 species